CGGUCUCUUUCGGGAGAAGCGGCGGACGGGUUAGUAACGCGUGGGAACGUGCCCUUUAGUACGGAAUAGCCAUUGGAAACGAUGAUUAAUACCGUAUACGCCCUAUGGGGGAAAGAUUUAUCGCUAAAGGAUCGGCCCGCGUUAGAUUAGGUUGUUGGUGGGGUAAUGGCCUACCAAGCCUACGAUCUAUAGCUGGUUUGAGAGGAUGAUCAGCAACACUGGGACUGAGACACGGCCCAGACUUCUACGGAAGGCAGCAGUAGGGAAUCUUGGACAAUGGGCGAAAGCCUGAUCCAGCCAUGCCGCGUGAGUGAUGAAGGCCCUAGGGUUGUAAAACUCUUUCGCCAGGGAAGAUAAUGACGGUACCUGGUAAAGAAACCCCGGCUAACUCCGUGCCAGCAGCCGCGGUAAUACGGAGGGGGUUAGCGUUGUUCGGAAUUACUGGGCGUAAAGCGCACGUAGGCGGACUAGUCAGUCAGAGGUGAAAUCCCGAGGCUCAACCUCGGAACUGCCUUUGAUACUGCUAGUCUAGAGUUCGAGAGAGGUGAGUGGAAUUCCGAGUGUAGAGGUGAAAUUCGUAGAUAUUCGGAGGAACACCAGUGGCGAAGGCGGCUCACUGGAUCGAUACUGACGCUGAGGUGCGAAAGCGU
rnacentral:rRNA from 1 species